GGGAAACUCACCAGAUAAGACAGCUGAAUGAUAGUCGGGCUGAAGACUCUACUUGACUAGCUGAGAGGAGGUGCAUGGCCGUCGUCAGUUCGUACUGUGAAGCAUCCUGUUAAGUCAGGCAACGAGCGAGACCCACGCCAACAGUUGCCAGCUCGUCCUCCGGGAUGGUGGGGACACUGUUGGGACCGCCUCUGCUAAAGAGGAGGAAGGAAUGGGCAACGGUAGGUCAGCAUGCCCCGAAUUAUCUGGGCUACACGCGGGCUACAAUGGGUGGGACAAUGGGUAUCGACACCGAAAGGUGAAGGCAAUCUCCUAAACCCAUCCGUAGUUCGGAUUGUGGGCUGCAACUCGCCCACAUGAAGCUGGAAUCUGUAGUAAUCGUGUCUCAAAAUGGCACGGUGAAUAUGUCCCUGCUCCUU
rnacentral:rRNA from 1 species